UACGUAGGUGACAAGCGUUGUCCGGAUUUACUGGGCGUAAAGAGCGCGCAGGCGGUCGAUCAAGUCGAGUGUGAAAGCCCCCGGCUCAACUGGGGAGGGUCAUUCGAUAGCUGAUCGACUCGAAGGCAGGAGAGGGUAGUGGAAUUCCCGGUGUAGUGGUGAAAUGCGUAGAUAUCGGGAGGAACACCAGUGGCGAAGGCGACUACCUGGCCUGUUCUUGACGCUGAGGCGCGAAAGCUAGGGGAGCAAACGGG
rnacentral:rRNA from 1 species